rnacentral:rRNA from 1 species
AACGAACGCUGGCGGCAUGCCUAACACAUGCAAGUCGAACGAGACCUUCGGGUCUAGUGGCGCACGGGUGCGUAACGCGUGGGAACCUGCCCUUAGGUUCGGAAUAACUCCCUGAAAGGGGUGCUAAUACCGGUUAAUGUCUUCGGACCAAAGAUUUAUCGCCUUUGGAUGGGCCCGCGUUGGAUUAGCUAGUUGGUAGGGUAAAAGCCUACCAAGGCGACGAUCCAUAGCUGGUCUGAGAGGAUGAUCAGCCACACUGGGACUGAGACACGGCCCAGACUCCUACGGGAGGCAGCAGUGGGGAAUAUUGGACAAUGGGCGAAAGCCUGAUCCAGCAAUGCCGCGUGAGUGAUGAAGGCCUUAGGGUUGUAAAGCUCUUUUACCCGGGAUGAUAAUGACAGUACCGGGAGAAUAAGCUCCGGCUAACUCCGUG